rnacentral:rRNA from 1 species
UAUGGGUUGUGCAAUUGGAAUGACUACAAUUUAAAGAGUUUAAGGAGGAUCAAUUGGAGGGCAAGUCUGGUGCCAGCAGCCGCGGUAAUUCCAGCUCCAAUAGGACAUAUCAAAGUUGUUGCAGUUAAAAAGCUCGUAGUUGGAUUUCUGGUGGGGUUUUUCGUGUUUGGUGUAUUUGGGGGCAACUCUGAUUCCAUUGAGCCACCCGCCAUAUUGUGGAUCCAUACAAGUAUGAAUGGUUUACUCCAUUUAUAUUUGUACCACUCAGUCACUGAGAGCAAUUGGAGUGCUCAAAGCAGGCUUGAUAGCUUUGAACAUUUUAGCUUGGAAUGACAAGAUAUGACUUUUGUUGUAUUUUGUUGGUUAUACAAGAAAAGUAAUGAUUAACAGGAACAGUUGCGGGGGUACUCGUAUUGAAAGGUCAGAGGUGAAAUUCUUGGAUUCUUUCAAGACGAACGACUGCGAAAGCAUUUACCAAGGAUGUUUUCAUUAAUCAAGAACGAAAGCUCGGGGAUCGAAGAUGAUUAGAUACCAUCGUAGUCCGACGCCAUAAACGAUGCCGACUCGGGAUUGUCUUGUUUAUUCUAAUUAAAAAACGAAUCAAGGCAGCACCGUAUGAGAAAUCAAAGUCUUUGGGUUCCGGGGGGAGUAUGGUCGCAAGGCUGAAACUUAAAGGAACUGCCGGAAGGGCACACCAGAGGUGGAGCCUGCGGUUUAAUUUGACCCAACACGGGGAAACUUACCAGGUCCAGACAUGAUGAGGAUUGACAGUUUGAAAGCACUUUCUUGAUUUCAUGGGUGGUGGUGCAUGGCCGUCCUUAGUUGGUGGAGUGAUUUGUCUGGUUGAUUCCGAUAACGAACGAGACGGGGAGAGUUAACUAGGUGAUUGGAUAACUCACGUUAUUCACACCUUCUUUGCUCGACAACUUGGUUUUACCAAGGGGAAGCGCCCCGCAAUAACAGGUCUGUGAUGCCCUUAGAUGUUCUGGGCUACACGCGCGCUACAAUGACGAAUUCAACGAGUAACUUUGUCCUUGCCCGGAAGGGUGUGGGUAAUCUUUUCAAUGUUCGUCGUGAUGGGGCUAGAUUAUUGCAAUUAUUAAUCUUCAACGAGGAAUCUCUAGUAUGUGCAAGUCAUCAGCUUGCGCGGAAUGCGUCCCUGCCCUUUGUACACACCGCCCGUCGCACCUACCGAUUGGACGAUCCGGCAAGAAGUUUGGAGUUGUGUUGUUUGCAGUAAUGUGAGCAAUGUGGCAAAGCUCUUCAAACCUUAUCGUCUAGAGGAGGGUGAAGUCGU